UCAGGCUAGAUGCACUGUCAGCGGCGCAUGCGCACUCCGACACAUGCACUGUCAGCGGCGCAUGCGCACUCCGACACAUGCAGUCUCAGCCGCGCAUGCGCAUUACAUCAAACUGUCAGACACGUGUGUGAAUUAAAUGCACCUACAGGCCAAUUGCAUGGAAAAUUGUUUGCUCACUAUACUGAGGAGUCCAAAGCCUUCCUUAGUGGUGAUCAGCAGCCUGUAUAUAGGUUGCAAAAAAGGAAGGUGGAAGAAAUCUCUCAGGAAGAGCCUUUUGACGGACAGGUAACUUCUCAGGUA